rnacentral:rRNA from 1 species
UACGGAGGGGGCUAGCGUUGUUCGGAAUUACUGGGCGUAAAGCGCACGUAGGCGGCUUGGUAAGUUAGAGGUGAAAGCCUGGAGCUCAACUCCAGAAUUGCCUUUAAGACUGCCGAGCUAGCAGGUGAGAGAGGUGAGUGGAAUUCCGAGUGUAGAGGUGAAAUUCGUAGAUAUUCGGAAGAACACCAGUGGCGAAGGCGGCUCACUGGCUCAUACUGGAACGCUGGAGGUGCGAAAGCGUGGGGAGCAAACAGG